rnacentral:tRNA from 1 species
GGGAAGUUGGCUCAGUGGUAGAGUGCUUGCCUUGCAUGUAGGAGGCCCUGGGUUCAAUUCCUCAGAACCA